rnacentral:rRNA from 1 species
AUGGUGCAAUCAAAUGAGUUGAUGGUGGCCAAGACAUUGGAGGGAGAGAAGGAGUUGGCCGACAAGAAGGCGCAAGAGAAGCAAGAGAAGUGGCAAUUACUCAAGGAAGAGGGGUUGCGCAAGACCGCCAUUGAGGAGAGAAGAGCCCUUGCCGAGGAGAACAAGGCCUUGGCUAAGCUUCUUCAAGAGGAGAACAAGAUCAUGACGAUGAACCGCAAUGACAUGGACGACAUCACCAAAGAAUGGCAUGAUAUUGCAAGGAGGGAGAUCUUGGAGAGAAGGAAGCAAGCGGCGACGGGUGGUGGAGAGUGA